GAUGAAGAACGCAGCGAAAUGUGAUAAGUAAUGUGAAUUGCAGAAUUCAGUGAAUCAUCGAAUCUUUGAACGCACAUUGCGCCCAUUAGCAUUCUAGUGGGCAUGCCUGUUCGAGCGUCAUUUCAACCCUUAAGCCCUGUUGCUUAGCGUUGGGAGCCUACAGUACUGUAGCUCCCCAAAGUUAGUGGCGGAGUCGGUUUCACACUCUAGACGUAGUAAUUUUUUCUCGUCUGUAGUUGAGCCGGUCCCCUGCCGUAAAACACCCAAUUUAUCAAGGUUGACCUCGGAUCAGGUAGGAAUACCCGCUGAACUUAAGCAUAUCAAUAAGCGGAGGA
rnacentral:misc_RNA from 1 species